UAUCAUCACAAUUCAAACCCCAUUUGUGAAAUCGCAAUCUUGCAUGGAAAGUUGUGCCCAUUUGCCCUAAUUCUGCUGUCGGAGGCCCACGUUUUCUGCAGCAAUUGAUCGAAGAUCCUCACUCCAUUUUCCAAUUCUCAGCAGCGUGAUCGACCGACUCAUCGCAAUCAGAAAUCCAAACAAUGACGAUUCUGAAGAUGUGAGAAAUGAACAUUGAAGAACAGAAUGUCGAAGUCGAAGAAGAAGACCAAGUUUGUGAAAUACCAGGAACGCAAUGUGAUGGUUUAAGGAGGCGGUGCCCGAAAGGAUGAAACUGCAGCUAAACGGAUCCCUUCUCAUGUGAUUGCAAACCCUAGUGAUGACCCUUCGUAUUGUUUUGCUGAUGGAAUUCGCAUCUCCUUUUGAUUCUUGGCCUUAAAAGAAGAUCGUGAGUCCAAUCGAGCUCAUCUUCCAGAAAUCAUCGCCCACUUAUCAGUUCAUUUUUUUGCGGUUAGCAUGCCUACCUGUGAUGUUUUUUAUAUUUAUGUUUUUCGAAUCAGAAGGAAUUUCUCUCUUUACUAUUGAAGGAGAAGUAUAAGAGAGUGCAGAAAAAACUAUUACAGGUCAUUAAUCUGUUGUUUGGUGAGAUCUGAGCACAGGGAGGACCGGUAUUCUGGAUAAUUUGGAAACCUUUCGUAGAGCAAAUCAAUCUGAUUUCAGUGCAUGUAUUAUUACCAAAUUUUUAUGUUUUCAUUUGGAAGCGUUUUUUUCGUGGGUUUUUAUUUUUUGUGUUUUCUUUAGUACUAGAAUUCACUAUAUUCCAACAUAUUCUAAUAGUACGAAGCUUAUUGUGUGGACUACUCUGUCUGGUUAUUAUUUGUCACUUAAUAAAGCAUGUUAUUUGAAUCUA